UUAAAGAGUUCUAUAACUCCCAAACCCAUGUGAACAUACCUAACGUUGCCUCGGCAGGUCGCACCUACCUUGUAGCACCCUACCCUGUAGGGCCUACCCGGGAGGUGCGGGUAAGCCUGCCGGCGGCCCACCAAACUCUGUUUGAUAUUGAAUUCUGAACCUAUAACUAAAUAAGUUAAAACUUUCAACAACGGAUCUCUUGGUUCUGGCAUCGAUGAAGAACGCAGCGAAAUGCGAUAAGUAAUGUGAAUUGCAGAAUUCAGUGAAUCAUCGAAUCUUUGAACGCAUAUUGCGCCCAUUAGUAUUCUAGUGGGCAGGACCGUUCGAGCGUCAUUUCAACCCUUAAGCCUUCGUUGCUUAGUGUUGGGAGCCUACGGCAACGUAGCUCCUCAAAGUUAGUGGCGGAGUUGGUUCACACUCUAGACGUAGUAAUUUUUUAUCUCGCCUAUUAGUUGGACUAAUCCCCUGCCGUAAAACCCCCAAUUUAUCAAGGUUGACCUCGAAUCGGUUCAGACAAACUCGCUAAAUUGAAGCAUCUUAGUCAGCGAAGGAAAAGAAACCAACAGGGAUUGCCCUAGUAACGGCGAGUGAA
rnacentral:rRNA from 1 species